rnacentral:rRNA from 1 species
AUGGAAGGGCUCCUACACUGGGAUUUUGCACCGGGCUUGGCCCUGGCAGAUCAGGUGAGACGCAGGUUUGGAUCCACGGUUCACUUUUCCCCCUCUCGGGACGCGAAGGAAUUCUUUCUGGUAGUCUCGUUCUCCUCAGCCUCCUUCCGCCUUUCGGUGGAUUCAGUUGGUAUUGCUAUUCAGUGUUGCAUUGGU